rnacentral:rRNA from 1 species
CCUACGGGAGGCAGCAGUGGGGAAUAUUGCACAAUGGGCGCAAGCCUGAUGCAGCGACGCCGCGUGAGGGAUGACGGCCUUCGGGUUGUAAACCUCUUUCAGUAGGGAAGAAGCGAAAGUGACGGUACCUGCAGAAGAAGCGCCGGCUAACUACGUGCCAGCAGCCGCGGUAAUACGUAGGGCGCAAGCGUUAUCCGGAAUUAUUGGGCGUAAAGAGCUCGUAGGCGGUUUGUCGCGUCUGCCGUGAAAGUCCGGGGCUCAACUCCGGAUCUGCGGUGGGUACGGGCAGACUAGAGUGAUGUAGGGGAGACUGGAAUUCCUGGUGUAGCGGUGAAAUGCGCAGAUAUCAGGAGGAACACCGAUGGCGAAGGCAGGUCUCUGGGCAUUAACUGACGCUGAGGAGCGAAAGCAUGGGGAGCGAACAGGAUUAGAUACCCUGGUAGUCCAUGCCGUAAACGUUGGGCACUAGGUGUGGGGGACAUUCCACGUUUUCCGCGCCGUAGCUAACGCAUUAAGUGCCCGCCUGGGGNGGACGGCGCGAGCGUAACGUACGAAGAAGUAGAGCGUGNGCGNGCGACGGACGACGACGAGGGAGGAGG